UAUAUCGAUAAUUCAAAAUGGCAGCAGUUAAUGCUACUUUCGAACGAAAGCAUAUUAACCCUUACAGGUUAGUGGUUAUUGUCCGGUAUCAAAAUGGCUAUAAAAAAAGCGCCCGCAGGCGCUUGAUA
rnacentral:sRNA from 1 species